rnacentral:lncRNA from 1 species
GGUUCCUGUUGGUCCCACUUCAUCCCCCCUUUUCAAGCACAUGGAGUACAGGCUCAGCUAAGGGAGUGAGAAGAAACUUAAGGUCACUUGCAGCUGCUGUACAUUCAAUGAUUCAAAUGUUUCUAAAAUUUACUUUUUAUUGCUCAUGAGUAGAUCUUGUUGGAGUGGAAGGCUGAAGUGAAUGGGUACAAGAUGUUCACCAAUCUCUGGAAUACCAACGGUGGCUACACUGCGAGCUGAAAGGAGCUUCAUUUAUAUCAAGUCCAGAUCACCCUUACAAUGAAGGAAUCUUCUAAUCAGCACGCCCAACAAGCAGUCAUCUAACUUCUGCUUGAAGAUCUCUGUUGAGAGGAAACCACAGGAUUCGGGUUUGAACAGUUCUCAUUUUUAGAAGGUUUUCUCUGUCA